AUGUUGGGGGCAGAGGAAGAAUCUACUCCAGAGCAAGAGACCCAUAUAGUGAACAUGGUGAUUGCUAAUAAUGCAAUAAGACUGCGCGAAAUACAGCAGCGCAUAAUUGAUAAUGACACCAUCUUUCAAAAUAUACACAGUGUAAGCAUUUCUGCACUAAGUCGUGUACUUGCGCGCCACAGAAUAAGAAUGAAGCAAAUUUACAGAGUUCCUUUCGAGAGAAACACAGAAUGUGUAAAGCAACUGCGAUAUGACUAUGUGCAGAGAGUGAUGGAACUAGAAGCAGAUGCCAUGGGACAUGAGCUACUUUUUGUAGAUGAGGCCGGUUUUAACCUCAGUAAAACCAGGAGACGUGGCAGGAACAUUACUGGACAACGUGGUGGUAACAUAACCAUGUGUGCAGCUAUAAGCCAAAAUGGUGUUGUUCACCAUCAUGCAACCAUAGGCCCAUACAACACUGCACACAUUACUGCAUUCCUGGACACCUUACAUGACAUGCUCACUGUUCAGAGACCAGAGCAUACCCGAUAUGUCAUCAUAUGGGACAAUGUUAGUUUCCAUAGGGCUGCUUUGGUCCGCAACUGGUUUACAGACCAUCCAUCCUUCAUGGCACUCAACCUCCCUCCAUACUCUCCAUUCUUAAAUCCCAUCGAGGAGUUCUUCUCUGCCUGGCGCUGGAAAGUGUACGACCGUCAUCCUCAUCAACAGGUAGCCCUUUUACAGGCAAUGGAGGAGGCAUGUGGAGAUAUUGACCAGGCAUCAUGUAAGGCCUGGAUACGGCAUUCAAGGAGAUAUUUUCCCCGGUGCCUUGGACUGGAGGAUAUCGCAUGCGAUGUGGCCGAAAUUUUGUGGCUGGACCCAGAAAGACGACAUGAUGCAGGCUGAUUGUCUUUUUUUUUUUUUUGUGAAAUUACUAUUUUGUGUUCUGACUUUGUCUUGGUUUUGAUGAGUGUAAAUAAACACCAAUACUUGAAGUUUGGAUCCUUGUAUGUUUACAUGACACUAUGACAAAAGUAUGACCUCAAAUUGACACAAAUCUGUACCCAGAGAAAGCAAAAGCAAGAUGUGUUUUGUAUUCAUACCAUCAGUGUGUAGUUGGCACAUUGUGUGCUUAGUAGAUGAUGGCUUGUGUUUACUGUUUGAUAUGAAAACACCAUUUUUACGAAGGUGUGAAGAGUUAAUCUAGCUGUGUUCGCUUUUGCAAGAGAACUACAAUGUUUUGAUAAUUGGGUGAAAGGUUUUCUUAUUUGUGUGUAGAGUUUUGCAAAAAUAGCCAAUAGUUACAAAAAAUGUGCUUAAGCAAUCAGAAAAAACUGUAACCCAUUUUGUGCUUGAGCAAAUAUGUUGCUAUUUAGUGUUUCAAUAUGCAUAAAAUAUAUGAAAUCUGAAGUCUCAUAGAUAUACAUAAAGCCUAUGCUUUCACAAGAAUAUGACAUUUUACUUGUCAUCAUUAGUCUGUUUAUAAUUUAAAUACCACAUGAGAC
ensembl:lncRNA